rnacentral:rRNA from 1 species
GACGAACGCUGGCGGCGUGCUUAACACAUGCAAGUCGAGCGGAAAGGCCCUUUCGGGGGUACUCGAGCGGCGGACGGGUGAGUAACACGUGAGUAAUCUGCCCUUCACUUUGGGAUAACCCCCGGAAACGGGAGCUAAUACCGGAUAUGACCGGCAACCGCAUGGUUUGUUGGUGGAAACUCUUUUGGGUGGGGGAUGUGCUCGCGGCCUAUCAGCUUGGUGGUGGGGUAAUGGCCUACCAAGGCUUUGACGGGUAGCCGGCCUGAGAGGGUGACCGGCCACACUGGGACUGAGACACGGCCCAGACUCCUACGGGAGGCAGCAGUGGGGAAUAUUGGACAAUGGGCGGAAGCCUGAUCCAGCAACGCCGCGUGAGGGAUGACGGCCUUCGGGUUGUAAACCUCUUUCAGCACCGACGAAGCGUGAGUGACGGUAGGUGCAGAAGAGGGACCGGCCAACUACGUGCCAGCCGCCGCAGUAAGAC